GGGUUCAUGCAUAAGAGGUCCAGGAUACAACGUUUCAUGCGCAUGCCCGACAGGAUAUACUGGCAAGAAGUGUGAGAUUAGGGCAGCCUCUGUGACGUGUACUGCAACCUGGUUAUCAGCUUGUAAAGGGACGUACGGAACUGGACGCUGUUCUUUCAUUUGUCCGAUCGGCUGCAUUAAUUCAGGCACCGUAUGGGGGACGGGGAUUUAUACAGGGGACUCCAGAUUGUGCCGAGCUGCCAUACACGACGGCCGCAUACCAGCUGCUGGUGGAGUGGCCACAGUGAUAGGUAU